GACGAACGCUGGCGGCGUGCCUAAUACAUGCAAGUUGAGCGAUGAAGAUUGGUGCUUGCACCAAUUUGAAGAGCAGCGAACGGGUGAGUAACGCGUGGGGAAUCUGCCUUUGAGCGGGGGACAACAUUUGGAAACGAAUGCUAAUACCGCAUAACAACUUUAAACAUAAGUUUUAAGUUUGAAAGAUGCAAUUGCAUCACUCAAAGAUGAUCCCGCGUUGUAUUAGCUAGUUGGUGAGGUAAAGGCUCACCAAGGCGAUGAUACAUAGCCGACCUGAGAGGGUGAUCGGCCACAUUGGGACUGAGACACGGCCCAAACUGCUACGGGAGGCAGCAGUAGGGAAUCUUCGGCAACGGACGAAAGUCUGACCGAGCAACGCCGCGUGAGUGAAGAAGGUUUUCGGAUCGUAAAACUCUGUUGGUAGAGAAGAACGUUGGUGAGAGUGGAAAGCUCAUCAAGUGACGGUAACUACCCAGAAAGGGACGGCUAACUACGUG
rnacentral:rRNA from 1 species